rnacentral:tRNA from 1 species
GCUUGUCUCUGUGGCGCAAUGGGUUAGCGCGUUCGGCUGUUAACCGAAAGGUUGGUGGUUCGAGCCCAUCCAGGGACGCUGAUUGCAACUUUUAAAGCAUUCACGCAUUGUCAAUCACUAGACAAAUGGGGAAGAUUUUAUCUUCCCGGAGUACCAAGCCACUAAUUUAUGACUGAUCCAUGUUAAGGGCCAGCCCCAAACCCCU